AUGGUUUCUUGCAGUCGCACUACCGUGAACAUCAAUGGGGAGAUCGGUCUUUACUUCCCCACCUUCUAUGGGGUAAGGCAAGGCGACCCCUUCUCCCCUUUCCUAUUCAACAUGGUGGUGGACACGCUUGCCGCCAUCCUGGAUAAGGCUAAGGCUGCUGGCCAUAUUCAUGGGAUCACUCCCCACCUGGCUGGCGGCUCUAGGAUCUCCCUCCUCCAGUAUGCCAACAACACCAUGAUCAUGGUCGAAGACUCGGAGUCGGAUAUCUCCAACCUUAAGUUCCUUCUCCUCUGCUUUCAACAAAUGUCUGGCCUUAAGAUAAACUUCGACAAGAGUGAUGUGAUGAUGAUGGGCUACUCUCCGGCUGAGUCCCUUGCCAUUGCCAACUGACUUAACUGUCACCUCGGCUCCUUUCCCACGACCUACCUAGGAACGCCCAUAAGCGACUCUCGGCUCACCGUCGCGGACUUGCGCCCGACCGUGACCAAGCUUCAAACGCGCAUCGAGCCUUGGCAGGGUAGAUGGUUGUAA
rnacentral:rRNA from 1 species